AUUGAACGCUGGCGGCAUGCCUUACACAUGCAAGUCGAACGGUAACAGGCCGCAAGGUGCUGACGAGUGGCGAACGGGUGAGUAAUGCGUCGGAACGUGCCGAGUAGUGGGGGAUAACGCAUCGAAAGGUGUGCUAAUACCGCAUACGAACUGAGGUUGAAAGUGGGGGACCUUCGGGCCUCACGCUAUUCGAGCGGCCGACGUCUGAUUAGCUAGUUGGUGAGGUAAAGGCUCACCAAGGCGACGAUCAGUAGCGGGUCUGAGAGGAUGAUCCGCCGCACUGGGACUGAGACACGGCCCAGACUCCUACGGGAGGCAGCAGUGGGGAAUUUUGGACAAUGGGCGCAAGCCUGAUCCAGCCAUGCCGCGUGUCUGAAGAAGGCCUUCGGGUUGUAAAGGACUUUUGUCCGGGAGCAAAUGCUAGUGGCUAACAUCCACCGGAGCUGAGAGUACCGGAAGAAUAAGCACCGGCUAACUACGUGCCAGCCGCCGCAGUAACAC
rnacentral:rRNA from 1 species